rnacentral:sRNA from 1 species
GCGGAGGAAAAGAAACCAACAGGGAUUGCCCUAGUAAUGGCGAAUGAAGCGGCAACAGCUCAAAUUUGAAAUCUGGCCCUCCUUCUUGGGGGGUCCGAGUUGUAAUUUGCAGAGGGUGCUUUGGCGUUGGUGGCGGUCUAAGUUCCUUGGAACAGGCCAUCGCAGAGGGUGAGAAUCCCGUAUGUGGUCGCCCGCCUUCGCCGUGUAAAGCCCCCUCGACGAGUCGCGUUGUUUGGGAAUGCAGCGCAAAAUGGGAGGUAAAUUUCUUCUAAAGCUAAAUACUGGCCAGAGACCGAUAGCGCACAAGUAGAGUGAUCGAAAGAUGAAAAGCACUUUGGAAAGAGAGUCAAAUAGCACGUGAAAUUGUUGAAAGGGAAGCGCUUGCAGCCAGACGUGCCUGCGGUUGCUCAGCCGGGCUCCCCCCUAAUCAGGGGCGCCCGGUGCACUCUUCCGCAGGCAGGCCAGCAUCAGUUUGGGCGACUGGAUAAUGACCUCUGUCACGUAUCUUCCUUCGGGAUGACCUUAUAGGGGAGGUGUAAUGCAGCCAGCCUGGACUGAGGGACCGCGCUUCGGCGAGGAUGCUGGCGUAAUGGCUGUAAGCGGCCCGUCUUGAAACACGGACCAAGGAGUCUAACAUCUAUGCGAGUGUUUGGGUGUCAAAGCCCGGGCGCGCAAUGAAAGUAAACGGAGGUGGGAACCUCUCCUCGCGAGGGGGGGGGCGCACCAUCGACCGAUCCUGAUGUCUUCGGAUGGAUUUGAGUAAGAGCAUAGCUGUUGGGACCCGAAAGAUGGUGAACUAUGCUUGAAUAGGGUGAAGCCAGAGGAAACUCUGGUGGAGGCUCGCAGCGGUUCUGACGUGCAAAUCGAUCGUCAAAUUUGGGCAUAGGGGCGAAAGACUAAUCGAACUAUCUAGUAGCUGGUUCCUGC